UACGUAGGGUGCAAGCGUUAAUCGGAAUUACUGGGCGUAAAGCGUGCGCAGGCGGUGAUGUAAGACAGUUGUGAAAUCCCCGGGCUUAACCUGGGAACUGCAUUUGUGACUGCACGGCUAGAGUGCGGCAGAGGGGGAUGGAAUUCCGCGUGUAGCAGUGAAAUGCGUAGAUAUGCGGAGGAACACCGAUGGCGAAGGCAAUCCCCUGGGCCUGCACUGACGCUCAUGCACGAAAGCGUGGGGAGCAAACAGG
rnacentral:rRNA from 1 species